rnacentral:rRNA from 1 species
GGGGAAGGGUAGCUUGCUACCUGACCUAGCGGCGGACGGGUGAGUAAUGCUUAGGAAUCUGCCUAUUAGUGGGGGACAACAUUCCGAAAGGAAUGCUAAUACCGCAUACGCCCUACGGGGGAAAGCAGGGGAUCUUCGGACCUUGCGCUAAUAGAUGAGCCUAAGUCAGAUUAGCUAGUUGGUGGGGUAAAGGCCUACCAAGGCGACGAUCUGUAGCGGGUCUGAGAGGAUGAUCCGCCACACUGGGACUGAGACACGGCCCAGACUCCUACGGGAGGCAGCAGUGGGGAAUAUUGGACAAUGGGCGAAAGCCUGAUCCAGCCAUGCCGCGUGUGUGAAGAAGGCCUUUUGGUUGUAAAGCACUUUAAGCGAGGAGGAGGCUACUGAGAUUAAUACUCUUGGAUAGUGGACGUUACUCGCAGAAUAAGCACCGGCUAACUCUGUGCCAGCAGCCGCGGUAAUACAGAGGGUGCGAGCUUAAUCGGAUUUACUGGGCGUAA